CAAGAUAGAGCUUGAUUAGUUAAGCAUCUCACUUACGUUGAGAAGUUCUUUGUGCAAUUCAAUGUAUCUUGA
rnacentral:tRNA from 1 species